GAUGAACGCUGGCGGCGUGCUUAACACAUGCAAGUCGAACGGUGAAGCCAAGCUUGCUUGGUGGAUCAGUGGCGAACGGGUGAGUAACACGUGAGCAACCUGCCCUGGACUCUGGGAUAAGCGCUGGAAACGGCGUCUAAUACUGGAUAUGAGCCUCUUCCGCAUGGUGGGGGUUGGAAAGAUUUUUUGGUCUGGGAUGGGCUCGCGGCCUAUCAGCUUGUUGGUGAGGUAAUGGCUCACCAAGGCGUCGACGGGUAGCCGGCCUGAGAGGGUGACCGGCCACACGGGGACGGAGACACGGCCCAGACUCCUCGGGGGGCAGGAGGUGGGGAAUAUUGCAAAUGGGGCGAAGGCCUGAGGAAGCAACGCCGCGUGGGGGAGAAGGCCUUCGGGUUGUAAACCUCUUUUAGCAGGGAAGAAGCGAAAGUGACGGUACCUGCAGAAAAAGCGCCGGCUAACUACGUG
rnacentral:rRNA from 1 species